CAGCCGUAAACUAUGCGCGUUAGGUGUAUCGGUGACCACGAGUCACCGAGGUGCCGAAGGGAAACCGUGAAACGUGCCGCCUGGGAAGUACGGUCGCAAGGCUGAAACUUAAAGGAAUUGACGGGGGAGCACAACAACGGGUGGAGCCUGCGGUUUAAUUGGACUCAACGCCGGACAACUCACCGGGGACGACAGCAAUAUGUAGGCCAGGCUGAAGACCUUGCCUGAAUCGCUGAGAGGAGGUGCAUGGCGUAGACGUCU
rnacentral:rRNA from 1 species